GAUGAACGCUGGCGGCGUGCCUAAUACAUGCAAGUCGAGCGAACGGACGAGAAGCUUGCUUCUCUGAUGUUAGCGGCGGACGGGUGAGUAACACGUGGAUAACCUACCUAUAAGACUGGGAUAACUUCGGGAAACCGGAGCUAAUACCGGAUGAUAUUUUGAACCGCAUGGUUCAAAAGUGAAAGACGGUCUUGCUGUCACUUAUAGAUGGAUCCGCGCUGCAUUAGCUAGUUGGUAAGGUAACGGCUUACCAAGGCAACGAUGCAUAGCCGACCUGAGAGGGUGAUCGGCCACACUGGAACUGAGACACGGUCCAGACUCCUACGGGAGGCAGCAGUAGGGAAUCUUCCGCAAAGGGCGAAAGCCUGACGGAGCAACGCCGCGUGAGUGAUGAAGGUCUUCGGAUCGUAAAACUCUGUUAUUAGGGAAGAACAUAUGUGCAAGUAACUGUGCACAUCUUGACGGUACCUAAUCAGAAAGCCACGGCUAACUACGUG
rnacentral:rRNA from 1 species